rnacentral:rRNA from 1 species
ACGGUGGAUGCCCUGGCAGUCAGAGGCGAUGAAGGACGUGCUAAUCUGCGAUAAGCGUCGGUAAGGUGAUAUGAACCGUUAUAACCGGCGAUUUCCGAAUGGGGAAACCCAGUGUGUUUCGACACACUAUCAUUAACUGAAUCCAUAGGUUAAUGAGGCGAACCGGGGGAACUGAAACAUCUAAGUACCCCGAGGAAAAGAAAUCAACCGAGAUUCCCCCAGUAGCGGCGAGCGAACGGGGAGCAGCCCAGAGCCUGAAUCAGUGUGUGUGUUAGUGGAAGCGUCUGGAAAGGCGCGCGAUACAGGGUGACAGCCCCGUACACAAAAAUGCACAUACUGUGAGCUCGAUGAGUAGGGCGGGACACGUGGUAUCCUGUCUGAAUAUGGGGGGACCAUCCUCCAAGGCUAAAUACUCCUGACUGACCGAUAGUGAACCAGUACCGUGAGGGAAAGGCGAAAAGAACCCCGGCGAGGGGAGUGAAAAAGAACCUGAAACCGUGUACGUACAAGCAGUGGGAGCACGCUUCGGCGUGUGACUGCGUACCUUUUGUAUAAUGGGUCAGCGACUUAUAUUCUGUAGCAAGGUUAACCGAAUAGGGGAGCCGAAGGGAAACCGAGUCUUAACUGGGCGUUAAGUUGCAGGGUAUAGACCCGAAACCCGGUGAUCUAGCCAUGGGCAGGUUGAAGGUUGGGUAACACUAACUGGAGGACCGAACCGACUAAUGUUGAAAAAUUAGCGGAUGACUUGUGGCUGGGGGUGAAAGGCCAAUCAAACCGGGAGAUAGCUGGUUCUCCCCGAAAGCUAUUUAGGUAGCGCCUCGUGAACUCAUCUUCGGGGGUAGAGCACUGUUUCGGCAAGGGGGUCAUCCCGACUUACCAACCCGAUGCAAACUGCGAAUACCGGAGAAUGUUAUCACGGGAGACACACGGCGGGUGCUAACGUCCGUCGUGAAGAGGGAAACAACCCAGACCGCCAGCUAAGGUCCCAAAGUCAUGGUUAAGUGGGAAACGAUGUGGGAAGGCCCAGACAGCCAGGAUGUUGGCUUAGAAGCAGCCAUCAUUUAAAGAAAGCGUAAUAGCUCACUGGUCGAGUCGGCCUGCGCGGAAGAUGUAACGGGGCUAAACCAUGCACCGAAGCUGCGGCAGCGACACUAUGUGUUGUUGGGUAGGGGAGCGUUCUGUAAGCCUGUGAAGGUGUGCUGUGAGGCAUGCUGGAGGUAUCAGAAGUGCGAAUGCUGACAUAAGUAACGAUAAAGCGGGUGAAAAGCCCGCUCGCCGGAAGACCAAGGGUUCCUGUCCAACGUUAAUCGGGGCAGGGUGAGUCGACCCCUAAGGCGAGGCCGAAAGGCGUAGUCGAUGGGAAACAGGUUAAUAUUCCUGUACUUGGUGUUACUGCGAAGGGGGGACGGAGAAGGCUAUGUUGGCCGGGCGACGGUUGUCCCGGUUUAAGCGUGUAGGCUGGUUUUCCAGGCAAAUCCGGAAAAUCAAGGCUGAGGCGUGAUGACGAGGCACUACGGUGCUGAAGCAACAAAUGCCCUGCUUCCAGGAAAAGCCUCUAAGCAUCAGGUAACAUUAAAUCGUACCCCAAACCGACACAGGUGGUCAGGUAGAGAAUACCAAGGCGCUUGAGAGAACUCGGGUGAAGGAACUAGGCAAAAUGGUGCCGUAACUUCGGGAGAAGGCACGCUGAUAUGUAGGUGAAGUCCCUCGCGGAUGGAGCUGAAAUCAGUCGAAGAUACCAGCUGGCUGCAACUGUUUAUUAAAAACACAGCACUGUGCAAACACGAAAGUGGACGUAUACGGUGUGACGCCUGCCCGGUGCCGGAAGGUUAAUUGAUGGGGUUAGCGGUAACGCGAAGCUCUUGAUCGAAGCCCCGGUAAACGGCGGCCGUAACUAUAACGGUCCUAAGGUAGCGAAAUUCCUUGUCGGGUAAGUUCCGACCUGCACGAAUGGCGUAAUGAUGGCCAGGCUGUCUCCACCCGAGACUCAGUGAAAUUGAACUCGCUGUGAAGAUGCAGUGUACCCGCGGCAAGACGGAAAGACCCCGUGAACCUUUACUAUAGCUUGACACUGAACAUUGAGCCUUGAUGUGUAGGAUAGGUGGGAGGCUUUGAAGUGUGGACGCCAGUCUGCAUGGAGCCGACCUUGAAAUACCACCCUUUAAUGUUUGAUGUUCUAACGUUGACCCGUAAUCCGGGUUGCGGACAGUGUCUGGUGGGUAGUUUGACUGGGGCGGUCUCCUCCUAAAGAGUAACGGAGGAGCACGAAGGUUGGCUAAUCCUGGUCGGACAUCAGGAGGUUAGUGCAAUGGCAUAAGCCAGCUUGACUGCGAGCGUGACGGCGCGAGCAGGUGCGAAAGCAGGUCAUAGUGAUCCGGUGGUUCUGAAUGGAAGGGCCAUCGCUCAACGGAUAAAAGGUACUCCGGGGAUAACAGGCUGAUACCGCCCAAGAGUUCAUAUCGACGGCGGUGUUUGGCACCUCGAUGUCGGCUCAUCACAUCCUGGGGCUGAAGUAGGUCCCAAGGGUAUGGCUGUUCGCCAUUUAAAGUGGUACGCGAGCUGGGUUUAGAACGUCGUGAGACAGUUCGGUCCCUAUCUGCCGUGGGCGCUGGAGAACUGAGGGGGGCUGCUCCUAGUACGAGAGGACCGGAGUGGACGCAUCACUGGUGUUCGGGUUGUCAUGCCAAUGGCACUGCCCGGUAGCUAAAUGCGGAAGAGAUAAGUGCUGAAAGCAUCUAAGCACGAAACUUGCCCCGAGAUGAGUUCUCCCUGACUCCUUGAGAGUCCUGAAGGAACGUUGAAGACGACGACGUUGAUAGGCCGGGUGUGUAAGCGCAGCGAUGCGUUGAGCUAACCGGUACUAAUGAACCGUGAGGCUUAACCU